rnacentral:rRNA from 1 species
CCUACGGGAGGCAGCAGUGAGGAAUAUUGGUCAAUGGCCGUAAGGCUGAACCAGCCAAGUCGCGUGAAGGAAGAAGGAUCUAUGGUUUGUAAACUUCUUUUAUAGGGGAAUAAAGGUAUCCACGUGUGGAUAUGUGCAUGUACCCUAUGAAUAAGCAUCGGCUAACUCCGUGCCAGCAGCCGCGGUAAUACGGAGGAUGCGAGCGUUAUCCGGAUUUAUUGGGUUUAAAGGGUGCGUAGGUUGUUUUUUAAGUCAGCGGUGAAAGUUUGUGGCUCAACCAUAGAAGUGCCGUUGAAACUGGCAGACUUGAGUGUGUUUGAGGUAGGCGGAAUGCGUGGUGUAGCGGUGAAAUGCAUAGAUAUCACGCAGAACUCCGAUUGCGAAGGCAGCUUACUAAGCCAUAACUGACACUGAGGCACGAAAGCGUGGGGAUCAAACAGGAUUAGAUACCCCAGUAGUC